rnacentral:lncRNA from 1 species
UCUGCAUUGGAAAAUCAUAUAGUACUUCUUGAAAGAAAGGUUUUAUGAGUAACUAAUGCAGUUACUGUGGAAACAGAUAUGACAUUGACGACUUGAUCGAGAAUAUGCUAUCUUCUAUCUUUUGAGUUUCAGUCCUCUAUGGUCUCAAAAGACCCACCAUGGACAGCUGCAACCUUAAAAAAGCAAGUUGUUCCAUCACUCAAGUUCAGUUAUCAUGGUUAUCAAAUUAAGAGUCUGGCUCCAAUAGAAUUGAACAAAUGUGGUCAAAGAUAGUGCUGGGGUCAGAAUACAGAGCCCUAGUAAUGGUACCCAAACUCAAAUGCUAAUUACCUUCUCAGAAAAGACUUUAUGAUCUGUAGUUCGAAGCAAAUCCAAUUCAGCUUUCUGAUGAAUAGCAGACUUCUAGAAAAGAAACUACUGUUCAAAAAAUCUAUAUAGAUUGAGAUGUAUCGAUAAGUUCGUCUCUAAGAUUGAAAGUUUCUAGUGCGGGAAGAAAAUACAUCAUGCUGUGGAAAUGGUUAGGCAAUGAUGGUUCUUGUCACCUAACACCCUUAACUAACAUCACCAACUUCACAGAGUUUCAGAUCAGUAAUCAACAUAAUGCAGCAGGCUAGCAGCGUAUAAAGCAACCAUGUGCUAUGUGCAGACAACUCAAAAGAAAGUUACGUAUGCAACAAAGCCCGUGAUCAAAGGAACCAAGAUAUUAAAAACAUCAAUUUUUGUUGCAGAAUAGCAACUUUAGACUAGUCUGCUUUGGCCAAGAUGACAUUUUGAACAAAAAUUUAGUAAACCUCUCUUCAAGCCACACCAUUGCAUUCAUCAAAAACAAUUAAUAUUUACUUAUGAAUCACCACAAUGGACCACCUAGAUUUCUAGGGAAAUAUAUUAGAUUUCUAAGGAAGUGUAUCACCUCGCCACAACCUGCUACUGCAACUACCUAAACAAUAUCACUUGAGUCUUGAGUUUAAGUGGUAAAACCAUCACAUCCAGGAUGGUUCAUAUCUGCUUUCAAAUUUAAUUUAUUAAAAUCACACAUCAAAAACUUAAUGGAAGAUGUUCUAUGACGUUAGAAUUGCAUAUAUUCCUUCAAGAAAUUAUCACUCUUCAUUCUAAUUUUUUAUACUGCAAGGAUUAAAAAAAUUGUUUCAUGUAUCCCAAUUUUCAUCUCCAAGACCUUUUUCCUUUGUAAUAUCGCUCAAUGAUUCAUCUAGACCUAAACACGGUCCAGUUCUAACGGGGGAACCGGAUUGGAACCGAACCGGGAAGAACCGGACCAGAACCGUGUCUCACAGUUUUUAACCGAACCGGAACCUUGAGAAAUACGGUUCGGUUAAGAUUCCAGGUUUGAUGGAACCGAACCGAAACCGGAAUCGGCGGUUCGGUUCCGGUUCGAACUGGAAAAAAAAAAAAGAAAUGAAAAAGAAUGGCGCCAUCUCCCUUAAAAUUCAAACGGUCACAUGACCAUUUGAAUUUCGAAAUGGCCAACGCCAUAUGGAAAAUUUCCAUAUGGCCCCUAAAUUUUUUUGUUUUACUUUUUCAUCCAAAAGACAAUUUUACCGCCUCCUAACAACUAAAAAACGGCUUGUUUGAGGGCAUUUUGGGAAACAAAAAAUACCCCCAACACUAUAUAUACCUCUCCAAAUCAAGUUUUUCACCACACCACUCAAUCUUCCAAUCNNNNNNNNNNNNNNNNNNNNNNNNNNNNNNNNNNNNNNNNNNNNNNNNNNNNNNNNNNNNNNNNNNNNNNNNNNNNNNNNNNNNNNNNNNNNNNNNNNNNNNNNNNNNNNNNNNNNNNNNNNNNNNNNNNNNNNNNNNNNNNNNNNNNNNNNNNNNNNNNNNNNNNNNNNNNNNNNNNNNNNNNNNNNNNNNNNNNNNNNNNNNNNNNNNNNNNNNNNNNNNNNNNNNNNNNNNNNNNNNNNNNNNNNNNNNNNNNNNNNNNNNNNNNNNNNNNNNNNNNNNNNNNNNNNNNNNNNNNNNNNNNNNNNNNNNNNNNNNNNNNNNNNNNNNNNNNNNNNNNNNNNNNNNNNNNNNNNNNNNNNNNNNNNNNNNNNNNNNNNNNNNNNNNNNNNNNNNNNNNNNNNNNNNNNNNNNNNNNNNNNNNNNNNNNNNNNNNNNNNNNNNNNNNNNNNNNNNNNNNNNNNNNNNNNNNNNNNNNNNNNNNNNNNNNNNNNNNNNNNNNNNNNNNNNNNNNNNNNNNNNNNNNNNNNNNNNNNNNNNNNNNNNNNNNNNNNNNNNNNNNNNNNNNNNNNNNNNNNNNNNNNNNNNNNNNNNNNNNNNNNNNNNNNNNNNNNNNNNNNNNNNNNNNNNNNNNNNNNNNNNNNNNNNNNNNNNNNNNNNNNNNNNNNNNNNNNNNNNNNNNNNNNNNNNNNNNNNNNNNNNNNNNNNNNNNNNNNNNNNNNNNNNNNNNNNNNNNNNNNNNNNNNNNNNNNNNNNNNNNNNNNNNNNNNNNNNNNNNNNNNNNNNNNNNNNNNNNNNNNNNNNNNNNNNNNNNNNNNNNCAAAAAUAGAUGCAACAAGAUUAAGAGGUGGAAUAUUUUUAUAAUAAUUAAGCCAUUUCAUUUUCAUCGCAGAAAUAGGAACUUGCAAAUCAUUAUCUUUCUCAAAAGUUUUAAUAGCAUCAGCAAUAUUAACACAUUCUAAAAUAAGUAAAUGAGCAGUAGGAUAAUAAAUACCAGAUAAAUUAUUAGUAGCAUCAUUAAAAACUUCUAAAAUGGUCAUAAUUUUUUUGCAAACAUCCACUGCUGGAAAAAUAAAACCACACUAGAAACAUUAUUCGCAAUAAAAGUACAUAAUAAUUCUUUGUAAGGAAAAGUUUCAUUUAAAAGUUCAUACGUGGAAUUCCAACGAUUUGGAACAUCUUUAGAAAUUUUUUUUUGGCCUCAUAUUAUGAAGCCGACAAAAAGAAAACCUUCCUUCAUAAUUUGUGGACGUAACCAUAUAUACUCUAACGCAUUUUUAAUUGGCUGAAGAUACUGAUCAAGGAAUUUUAAAGCAUCUUGAACACAUAAAUUUAAAACGUAACAUGCACAUCGUAUAUGAAAAUAUUUACCACCAAAUGAGGGUUUGCAAAGUUUUUCAAGAUGAGGAAUUGAAGCAGUAUUUGAUGAUGCAUUAUCAUAAGAAAUUGAAAAUACUUUAUAAACUAAAUUAUACUCGUCCAAAACAUACUUUAUUAGUUUCCAAAUAUUUUCAGCAGUGUGUCUUUCAUCAAAACCUCUAAAAGCAAUAAGUCUUUUUUGCAUUUGCCAUUCAUCAUCGAUCCAAUGGCAUGUGAUACCCAUGUAUGAAUGGACUUGCCAAUAAUCACUCCAUAUAUUAGAACACAAAGAAACAUUUCCAUUAAAAGAUGAAAAAAAAUUCAGAUAAAUCAUGCUUGCCUCUUUUAUAUAAUUUAACUAUGGCACGUACAAAUGUAGUCCUAGAAUUCGUUUAGCAGCAGGUUGUAAAGCUUCUUGAGUCAGCAACAUAUUCAGGAUGUUAAGAAAAUAAAAAUGACAAAUGCAUUGCUUAAACCAUUUUUGCUAAUGAAUUCCUAUAUUUUGCAUCAUUAUAUUGAAAUAAUUGAGGAGAAGGACUAGAUGUAGUGUACCCGGUCAUUUGUGUUUGUAAAUGAUCGAUGUCUACUUCUGCUGCAUGCUUGCUGUUAAGGUGCUUGGUGAACGAUUCAUAUCCACCAUCGAGUUUAAAUUUGAAUGUGUGACUGCAGUAGUUGCAAAUUACUUGCCAUGAACCAUCUGAAAGUUGCACUUUCUUGAAAUGCUUGACAAAUAUGUCGGAUUUUGGAGCCCUUCCUUUUGAUUGUGGAUUUGAUGGUGGAACUAUAGAAUGACUUUCUUGAGUAGCUGCAUUUGGAUGCAAUUCUUGUGGAUUUGCCUCAUAAUUUAGAUCAAUAUCUUCGGAAGAUUGAGUUAAAUCGAACUCAUCAAUAGAGGGGGGUCGGUAAUUUGGAUCGAAAGUAUUUGGCAUAUUAUAGCACUCAACAUUAAAGGGAAGAACUGAUUCGGAAAUUGAUGGAGAAAUUUAAUGUGGAUCCCAAGAAUUUGGGUUUGGAACAUAUUUUUUCUUGCCUUUAUUUGAGCGGAAGGAAGAUAUUUUUGAUAAUUGGAUUGGGAAAAAUGAAAAUAUGGGAAGAAAUUUUAUAUGACAAAAUUAUAUGGAAGGUAAUUAUUUUUUUCUCAAAAUUUGAUUGAAUUUUGAGAGAAAAACAAUUAAGNNNNNNNNNNNNNNNNNNNNNNNNNNNNNNNNNNNNNNNNNNNNNNNNNNNNNNNNNNNNNNNNNNNNCAUUUCCAGUUUUUGCAGUCUUCUUUAUCUCUGCCACCAGCUUUUUCUCCUCCAUUUGCAGGGCUGCAAUCUCCCGUUCAACACCUCUUGUGGCCACUGACAUUUCUCUCUUGCUCGUCCUGAGAGCAUCUUUGGCGGAGGUUUUCUUCUUGAAAAUAUUCAUGGCUCCACCCCUCCAACGCGACCGCAGAGACCCAGAAAAACGAGAGCGAGAUGCGCUGGGAGAAGGGAAAACCCCUAAUUGGUGUCAGAUCCUGGAAGAUUGAGUGGUGUCGUGAAAAACUUGAUUUGGAGAGGUAUAUAUAGUGUUGGGGGUAUUUUUUGUUUCCCAAAAUGCCCCUCAAACAAGCCGUUUUUUAGUUGUUAGGAGGCGGUAAAAUUGUCUUUUGGAUGAAAAAGUAAAAAAAAAAUUAGGGGCCAUAUGGAAAUUUUUCAUAUGGCCAUUGGCCAUUUGGAAAUUCAAAGGGUCAUGUGACCGUUUGAAUUUUAAGGGAGAUGGCGCCAUUCUUUUAAUUUUUUUUCUUUUUUUUUCCGGUUCGAACCGGUACCGAACCACCGAUUCCGGUUCCGGUUCGAUUCCAUCAAACCUGGAGCCUUAAUCGAACCGUAUUCCUCAAGGUUCCGGUUUGGUUAAGAAUCGUGAGACACGGUUCCGGUUUCAAUCCGAUUUUUCGGUUAGAACCGGACCGUGGUCAGGUCUACUCGCGAAGGAUCUCAGUUGAAAGAUGCAAAAAAGACAACCCCAUCUCUCUUAUACCUAGUCCCCCAAGAACCCUAUUCCAUGCAAAGGAUUGUCAAAUAGGACUAACACUCGGUGAAACCUUCAUCUAAAAUACAAUCUUAAUCUAGCAAUGGUAGAAUUCUUAUGCUUCAAAAUGCUAUUUAUGUCUUCGUUUUUUUUUCCCUAGUGUCUUCUAAUAGCAUAUCUUUCUAGCAAAUGAUAUUCAUAUCUAUUAGUUUUCAGAACACAAGUGCAUGACCAAAAUCAAAUGAUGUGGAUAAGUGAAAGGAAAAGCACACCAUUUGCAUCUCCUACAUAAGGAAUAUAUGAAAGAUGAACCUGGGAAGCAUGUGGUCAAUCUUGGAAAAAAGGAUACGCAAUGCGUGAAGAUAUGGAAUCAGCAUUUUUAUUAUUUUUAUUGGUCAUUGCUUCAGCCAGUCCUCACAAGGAAUAAAUGGUGAACCAGCUAUAAAAUGUCUGAGACAGAUGGUAACCCAAUAGGUAUAAUGGAUAGAGCACCAAAUAUCAUGAUUCUUACUGUGUACAAAGUGCAUGUUUAGGUUUGCAGCAAUAAAAUAAUGGGAAGAAUUGUGCCAAACAUGCAAUAUUUUUCAAAUAUAUAUGUGCAUGUUGUGGGUAGAGGGAGCACAUGUCUGUGUGUGCACAAUGAUUAGGCGCCUAAUUUUGGCUGGUUUCAGUUAACAUUCACAUUUCAAAUCAAUUAGUAGUGAAUGAAUCAUGGCAGAGGGAAACUAAAUGCACAUUUCAAUAACAAAGAGAAGAAAAAAGAAAAGGUUGAGAAUUUUGCAAGAAUCCACUAGUAUUCAAAAAAUACAUCAAAAUUUAAAUCAGAUACUAAAGAGCUCUACCGUCAUGUCCAUUUGGGCUGAUUGCUUCUGGAAUUCUUUCAUCACUUUUGCCUGUUUUGCUGGUUCCAUUUGCUGAAACAUGCCAAAAAAUUUCCAUGUCCAAAUCCCAAUAAGAAUUUUUUUUUAAAAAAAAUCGAAUGGUAACAAAACAAACUACCAAACUUCUAAAUUUUUCAUGAUGACACUCGAUUUGCUCAAGCAAUAUAAAUUUUGAGCUUUCAGCCUACCUUGUUCAUGGCUGCCAUUGCUUUACUUGCACCUUUCAUGCCAGCAGAAAUUGAGGUACUUGCAUACAUUGCCUGAGAAAACAACAAAUUUAGUGUUACAACAAAAAAAAAAAAAACUUAAAAGCAUUGCUGCAGGUAUUGUCAGGAUUCCUGACCUGUGUGUGAGUUGCUACACCUCUUAUUUGUGCACGUGUUCCCUGUAAAUUAGUGAUCUGCUGCCUCAGACGAAUAAGUUGACGAGCUAAGAUCCGAGUUGCAGGCUGGAAAAAAAACAGAAUGCCAAAUAAGUGUUUAAUGCAUAUUGGAGUAGAAAAUAAGAUAACACACCCAAGAUUGAAUUACCAAGUAAAUUUUAAAAAACCUANNNNNNNNNNNNNNNNNNNNNNNNNNNNAAUAUGAAAGAACAGGAAGAACCUUUUGAUAUCAAGGAGAAUUAAGGAAAAAAUGAAGAUAUAUGUAUCAACCCAACAAACUUGCCUCAUUUCCAGUUUUUGCAGUCUUCUUUAUCUCUGCCACCAGCUUUUUCUCCUGUCAUGAGUCACUUCUGAGAAAGAGUGCAAAACAUAACUAUGUGCAAAUUUUGCAUUCAACUGUUUGGGCAGGCAAGUUUACCUCCAUUUGCAGGGCUGCAAUCUCCCGUUCAACACCUGAAGACAUAAAAUGGAAUAAAUAGCACAAGCUUUUUAGUACCAAAAAACAGAAUCUGUUACAAUUGAUUCAGAGACCUCACAUUGUGUCCUAUUAUACAUAACAGGAUUAUAAAUAAUAGCCAAUUAUCCUACUUUGAUGGCCAUUUUGCAACAGAAAAAUAGUGGCCGUAGUGGCAAUUUUCAUUGUUCACCAGCAUAAAAUAUUUUUUAUAAAAUUUCAGUUCCUUCUAUCAGCAGGAAAAAUAAAUAUUUAUCCAGCAAGCAUAAGCAUGAAUAAAUAAGAUGGUCGGUUUUCUGUUACUGUCCUUAUAAGUUAAUUUCUCUUAUAACAACUAAAUAAUGGCCAUUAUAACAGUCAUCACUUUAUUCCAAAAAUAAAACUUAAUCCACCAGACCAUAACAAAAGUGGCCAAAUAACAGUCAUUAUUACCAGUAUAAUGGGAAAUGACAGAGAAGAGAGAGGGGGGAGGGGAGGGGGGGUUUGGGGGAGAAUAAUCCCAAGACACAUCUGAAAACAGGAAGCUGACCUCUUGUGGCCACUGACAUUUCUCUCUUGCUCGUCCUGAGAGCAUCUGCGGGGUCGCAAACAAGAUUAGAUUCUCAUAUGGAGUGGAGUAGGAAAACACCGAAAUCUAGUGGAGAAAAGCAAAUUGACAUCUAAAAAUCACAUAAUACACCUACAAUGGCAGCAAAAAUCCAAAAAAAAUAUAAAUACAAACCCCACCAACAAAAUUUUAGCAGCCAAAAGCAAAAACACAACCUUAUCGGCUUUUUCAAGUCAAAAUUUAAUAUUUUUAGGCCCACUCGAAUCCGAUCGAACAUAUAUAACGGAAAACAGCAAUGCAUGACCAAUCCAACGCAGAUGGAUGAAAUGCUUGACGGAAAACCCUAAAGAAACACCAAGAAAAGCCUCUAACCUUUGGCGGAGGUUUUCUUCUUGAAAAUAUUCAUGGCUCCACCCCUCCAACGCGACCGCAGAGACCCAGAAAAACGAGAGCGAGAUGCGCUGGGAGAAGGGAAAACCCCUAAUAAUUGGUGUCAGAUCUAGAGAGAGAGAGAGAGAGAGAGUGAGAUCGCGUUAGGGGUUUUAAAGGGCGNNNNNNNNNNNNNNNNNNNNCUAGAGAGAGAGAGAGAGAGAGAGUGAGAUCGCUGGGGUUUUAAAGGGCGUCUUGGGAAUCUAAAAAAAGUUUGUUCGGGAGCUUCUCGCUCGCUCGCUCGUUCGUUCGCUCGUGUGAGAGGAAGGCCCAAGUAGCCGUUGCAGUGUGGACGGUUCCUUUCGCUUUCCAAUGGCUAACGGGUCUUUCCUUUUGAAAUAAGAGAAUAUGCUCCUAGCUUAGGUUUUUGUUUAUUUCAAUAACUAGUAUUUAGCAAGUGUCAUACAAACCAAGUUAACUACUCAACUAAUAGAGUGAAAGGGUUGGAUCAUAGUUGUAUCCUUAGCAUCAUAUAAGGAUUUACCACCCUUUGCACCCAUCCACCAUUUGAUCAUCCACUAUAUGCUUUGAGAACUGUGUAGGUGAAUGGACAAUAGUAUUCGGAGUACUUUGUAGUGGGUGAUCCAACAACGGAUAGGUGUAAAGAAAGGUGAAACCUUCUUCUGUGCGAAUGAUACAAUCGCAUUCCAAAAAAGUAGGGAUCUUAUUUCUCUAUGGAUGUUGGUUGAAUCAGUGUUGCACAACCCUAGCCAUUAAUGUGAUAUCAUCUCAAUCCUUGGGAAAUAUAAAUAGACAAAUCUUGAGAUUAUAGUCUACAAAAUAUAAAAAAUUAUAUAUAUUGAUCAAUAUUUUAUGAUAUUGAUUAUAUUUUAAAUUAAUAUAUGAUAUUUAUAUAUAGUUGUUAAUCCUGAAUUUACCAUAUAGGAAAAGAUUUUGAGAUAUUAAUCCUAAAAUAUUGAUUGAGAUAUUCAAAUCUAAAUUCUUUCUAAGUUUUCCACCUUCCAUAUUGCCCAGAGAUGCUAUGUUGAUCUCUCAAUAUAAGUAGGGUUUUGAGGAAAGGGAUAUUGAUAGGAUGGCCUUUUAGUUUACUACAGAUGAUAGGAUGGUUCCUCCUUUUUAAAAAUUAAAAAUAAGGUAGACCCAGUUUAAGUACCUACAAAUGCUAGGUUAUUCUCUGGUAUUCGGUAUUUUCAGUCCCUAAUGUAAAAAUAAAAAAGAUGAAGGUGUUAAGAAGAUUGUUUUGGUGUAAGAAAAUACUUCAAUAUAGGCUGCUAUAGAUCCUUUAGUGCAGUUAUUAGUGCUAAGGCAUUCGACCCAUAUCAGCAACAUUAACCCUACCAAUUGACACUAACGGCCUUCACCGAUCAUGGUGAUGCUAAGGCUACAAAUGGGUCGGGUUGACCUAUAUCUCGACCCAUCCCGACUUGUUUAGACCCGAUCCGACCCAAUUUAGAGGACCCGUGGUGUUGGAUCGAGUUGUAAAAUUGAACAUAUUCUAUUUUUUGGGUUGGGUCUGGGUUUACUAAAUUAUGACCUAACCCUACAGAGCAAUUUUGAGUUUUCUACCCUAUAACCCAACCCGAACCCAGUACACUGUUAGGGCCGGCAAGGGUGCUUAAGGGUCUCUAACUCUAUAUUUCUUUAAUCUCUACUUGUGUUUGAGGAUGAGAGAAAUGAAAGAGACUAUUUUUUGUAGUAUCGAAUGACAUAAAUUUUACAUUAAGGCUUAGGUUGGUUAUAUUAAAUAGAAACACCGUUUUUCUAAGAAGAAAGUUCAAACUAAUGAAGGCAAAAUAGAGUAUAACUUUACUCUGAGGAAGAAGAUGGGUUCAUGAUGAGUCCUUUGCAGUUGUUGAACUUUAUCAUGUAUCAUUAUCAAAACUAUAUUCCUCAUUUUGGCCCAUAUAUGCUUUUCUAGUAGUACGUUUAGAAAAAAUAGUAGUAGAUGCAUUCUAACAAAUUUAGGGGAUAUCAUUGCUGAGUAAAAAAGAUUCUAACAAAUUCUAACCCCACAAGACAUACCAGAUCUACCUUUUGAUUCAUGUCAUUCCAAACUCAGCCAGUGAUAGAAACAAAUAAUCUAAUGCAUUUAUUCAAAAGAAAUCAUCCAUAAUCAUUAAUAAGAAGAUUAUGUCCAAAUCAAAUUUAUUCAAAAAAAGCUAAUUAAAUAUUUUCUAAAUCCUAAGUGCCUCGUUGCUUAGUCCCAAGCUCCAUCUAUUCUACUGCAUCUAUACAAAAAUCGAAGAGAGAUGAUGAGUUUUAGGGUCUAGUAAGUUACCAAAUCAUCUAGUUCGAGCAAAUAUAUAUACAAGAAAUAUAAAUUUUUAGUUUGCAUGAUUUUUCAUAAUUGAAAACAUACUAAUAAAUAUAUCAUGUCUAUCAACAUAGAUUGAAGAUAUAUAAUGCAUUUGGCCAAAAUAAAUUUUUAAACCAACCAUAGACGGAUCAUUCACUCUCACUCUUCUAGUAUUUACGACUAUGGCCAUGAUUAGCCUAUGGCAAGCCCUGAAAGAGACUAGAUCCUGGCUACAACAGGUCGUCCAUUAGUCAUGCAUCAAUAAUCGUCCCACCGAAGGCUCGGAAGGAAACUAGCUUUAAAAUCAUACAGAAAACAUGCUUACAUCGGCAUAUACCAACGAUCAACCCCGAUGGCUAGGUCCGAAAGAAAACUAGCUCCUCACUAGAGGCCUAGAAGAAGACUAGAUGUGAUCAUAUUCGGACUAGGGACUAGUAAUCAACACAUAACAUAUACGAUAUUAACAUAUUUAUCAAUAUAAUAAAAUAUAAUUCAUGCCCAAAUAAUUCAUAUCAUACUUGAUCCAAUAUUUUACAAUUCAUUUUUAUUUAGAGCACAUAAGCUACAUAAAUUAACAUAACAUAAUAGCAAUAGAUUAAUUUCCAAAUAAUGUAGAUCAUGCCAUGUGCAUGAUUAAACACUAGGGGUAGAGGUAACUUACAAUUUUUGCUUUGAAAUCUCUCCAAAUUCAUCACUCAAGAAAAUUGUCCAAAAAUUAAGAUAAUCAAGUGUCUUAUUAGACUUCUAUAAGGCAUCAUAUAACUUGAAAUAUCCUAUGGUAGGAUCCCGUCUAUGUCCAGACCACCGAAUCUAGCCAAUGUUCAGGGGUCUCAACCAUUCCUUGGAUCUAACAAUUAAUUAACACAAGUAUUUCACAAUGCGAUGGCAUUCGUGGUUAGCUGAAUCUAAAGAAAUCAAUCUCAAUCCCGCCUCCUUGCUAUCUGGAUCCGGCUUUCCACCUGAUAUUAAAGUUUUUGAGUUAGAUCUAACUUAUCAAUUAAAAAAUAGACUAAUUAAAGAGAUUUUCACUCGAUUUGCAUCAACCAACAAGAUGGAAAGAAGGGAGACAGACUUGACCUAGGUUCAAUCAGGGCCUGGGUUUGAUCCAUCAGUGUCGUGGAUAAAUCAUUGUAUUUGGUCCAAGAAGUAGGAAGAGAAGAGGAGAAUUUAUAGAAAAAUGAGAAUUGGGAAGAAAAUGAAGGAAUUUAGAAGAAGAUGAUGAAGAUGGAAAGGAAAGAAGAAGAGAGGGAAGAGGAGAAGGUGGGAGAAGGUAAUAGAAGCUGCAUUGUGAUGGUUGUAGAGGAAUUGGUGGUGGUAGGUGAUGCUCAACGAACUGUGGAUAGCAACAACCAGCGGAGAUGGCAAAAUAUAGAAAAAAAGUCUCAGUUUGCCCCAAAAAUAGAAAGAUGGAGUUGAGUUCGGGUCCAUACGAAGGAGGUGAGAAGAGGGAGAGGGAGGGCCAGGGUGGCAUGGGUUCCUAGUGUGGUGGCCGCGACCCUUGCUCUGCAGAGCCCAUAUGGAGGAGGUGAGAAGAGGGAGAGGGAGGCCUAGGGUGGUGUGGGUUCUUGGCAUGGUGCCUAUGGCCCUUAGUGUGUAACGGUGCUUUGGCCGCAUAUACUAAAAAUAGAACAAGGGAGGAGGAGAGGGCAGCACCCCUAGCUGCCCCGGAGAGCAACUUCCUCAACCAAAGGGGGCAAUGACAGAGUGAAGGACUCAUCAGCAAGUGGUGAUGAUGGUGAAUCUCGGCCAAUAAUGAUGGAUUCUGGCGAGAAAAUGAGCAGCAAUACUUGAAUAGAAAAAGUGGGACAAUAAAGAGAUUUUAGAGAGAGGAGGAUAAGUUUUGGGCGGCGAUGCUUGGCUGUGGUGGCAUGGUGGCCACCGAAGAAGAGGAAGAAAGGGAACAAAGGAUUGGUCUUGAUCAAUCGUAGUGGAUGAAGGAUCCACCAAAAAAAUUGCAACGGAUGAAAGGAAUUUAAAAAAGGAUUUUUUAGAAAAGAUAGACUUGGUCUAACAAGUGAUAAAACUGGUCAUUCGUCGGUUGCCAAGGGCCUAAAUAGCCGGCGUCCAUUUGUAUCGACUCAAUAGAGUAUGCACCAGCCACAAUUGUCGUCUGUGGUCAUCCUCAAUGACCACCGCUCUACCAAGAGAUUGCAAUCGCAUCCUCUUUUUCUAUAGCUUAUCAUCUCUUUUUUCUAUUUUUUGAAUUUUAAAUGGAAGUCAACUAGGCUUACCAACUUUUGUUCAAAAUGAGCCCAAUUUGGGCCAUGUUGCCAUUGGGAACUGGCCUGCCCUAGGCAUCAAGUGAGUGAUGCGACGAUGCUGGAGGACUCGGCAAUCGGCUGCUACCAGGGUCUGGUCCAAUGGCCGCGCUCCGAUCUGGAACAACAAAAAUGAAGAAGUCCUUUUGUCAGAGUGUGUCUGGUGAGGGAACCCCUUAUGUCUAAGUUAGGAUGAUGCUCAGAAAAUAGAAGGAGAUUCUCCACAGUCCAUUAGGGCGUCCAGCACUUGCCUAGAAGGUUCUCUUAAAAGGUUGGUUGUAUAGGCGAAGGAGAGUACUUAUUGCUGUGGUAUUCGGGCACAUAUGUUGGUUAGGAUUGGUUGGCCUUUGCACAUCCUAAAUAUUAGGUGUGGACAUAUCACAUGCAGAUCACGCCCCUGCCUGUUAGGUCGACAUGCGGAUCAUGCCUUCGGUCGACAGGAUUUCAGAGAUUGCCUAGGAUCUCGGCUAGGUUAUCAUCAACUGUAAGAAGCUUUCAAAAUUCAAACCUGGCUGCACACAUUUUGGUACGCCAAAUGGCUACUCCUAAUCGAUGGUGCGCUAGCUUCAUAGCGAAUUCUGAUUAAACAACCCUUCUGGUGAGCUGGGGUCGAUCCUGAUGUGCAUUAGGCUAGUUCCGCAAGUGCCUUGGAAUUGGGUGAGAAAGGAUAAUAUUAAUCCCAAUAACUAUUGGACUAUUCUAAGGAUUUAAACAAGAAGGUCUGCCAACAAGAAUAAUUAAAAAGAGAUGGCUUUGAGAUUCUUUUAAGAAAAUUAUAAAAAAUAAAAUCCCCCAAAAUCAGCUUUUCAAUCACUUACGAGCAAGAAAUUAUAUUCUAUACCACAUACACCACAUCAGCAGUGCAUCACACCAAUCCUAUUUCAACACAUCAUGCCUUAAUGCAACCCUUCUAGGUCCACUCUCUCGAUGAAAAAAUUUCUAAAAAAAUCUACUAGCUCUCCUAGGAGUAGCAAUUGGAUCAGCUCGGGUCAGAUACAGAUCGGGUUGGAUGCAGGUCUAAUCAAAAAUUCAUCAAUCCAAAUCUGACAUAUUUAUUAAACAGAUCAAAAUUUCAAAACUAAGUUCGACUUUUUUAUUAAAUAGGUAAUCCAACCUGACCUACAUAACCUAUUUAUUAAAUAAAUCAAGUCGGGUGAAACAGAUUAAACAGAUUUCUAAUGGGUUAAAUAAAUUUAAAUAGGUUAAAUAUGCUAAACAGGUCGGGUUAAACAAGUCAGAAACUGGUUAAACAAAUUUCAAACAGGUUAAACGGGUCAAAAGUUUAAACAUGAACCCAACCCAUUUAAUAAACAGAUUUAGACGGUCAACCUAUUUACGACCCAAAUUUAUUUAUGUCAAACCCAAACAUGAUUAAAGUGGGUCAUUCAUAGAUCAGAUUGACUAGUCUGAUCAUAAAUUGCCACCCUUACAUUCUCCUCUCUAAAGAGGUUGCAUUAAGACGUGACAUGUCAAAAUAGGAUACAAUUUCUUCUUGUGGGUAACACAUAUAAAUAUUCAAACGUACGCAAAAUUCUAUCUAGUUGUGAGCAAUCCGUGACUGGAUUUGAAUCGGUUGAAAUAUAAAUCAAGAUUUUAUAUCUCGUUGCCCUGACCUAAUCUCAUCCAAAUCCACCCGGACCCAACCCUGCCACCUUCCAAACAAAAUAAAACAAAGCGGAGGGCUAUCUAGUAAUUACAAGCAAAAUCAGAGCGGCUUUAGCAAGAGACCCAACGAACACGGCAGCGGCAAAAUCGCCGAACGGAUAAACCUCGUCCUGCAGCCGCCAAGUUGGCUUGGAGUUCAUGUCUCAAGUCCAACCCCGCCGGAGACAAACCGACGUCAAUGGAAAAUCGGUAACUAUUUUCCCUUUCUAUUCUUCUUUUCUCAGUCUCAUCCUUAAUUGCGUAAAUGUUUGUUAACUUGGCAUGGAGAGUGAUGUUGGUCUCAAACUCUCUUGAUGCGAUUUGAUGGCAGUUCGUUAUGAUCAUCAAGGGGCUGUUUAGGAGGUAUGAGAGGUGGAACCCUGUGCACCCGACUCUGGGGACCUUCUGGGGCAUGGGGAUUGGCCUCGGAUGCGGCGUCGGAUGGGGGCCGGGGUUUGGGCCGGAGGUCGUUGGCUAUGUUGGGGCUGGCUGUGGUGUGGGAUUUAGUGUCGGCAUUACUCUGGCUGGCGUUGGUAUUGGCCUUCCAAAAAAUGGCCUCAUCCAAAUCCCAUUCAAUGGUAUGGUCUAGUCUCUAGCAUCAGUUUUCUUUUUCUUUUUCAAUGUUGUCUAGAUGGUAUUUGAAGUAGAAAAUGAUGAUUUAGUUGUGCAUAUGCAUAAGAAUCAUGUAAUGUAAGUUAACCUUCUCUAUUGCAAAUUAUGAGUCCACUCUUAAGGUGAUUAUAAACAUGAUAAAAAGAAUAACUUGAGGAUGUAUAAGGCUCAAAAAAAAAAAAUCAUGGAUUAUCCAUUUUUGGCCAAUAUGUUUGCUGUGCGAAUGCCUUGAUGAUUAUUUUCUUUCAUUCUUUGGGAAGUAAUGAAAACAGUCAACAUGCAACCUUUUAAAUUUAAGGUAUCCAGAUAACAUUGUGUGGACACAUAGGAUAAGAUAUCGAAAUUUUGCGACUGUAUUGAAAUAUGCAAGCAAGCAUCUGCAUUAAGACAAUAUAGAAUGACCUUUUGAUAGGACAUUAAUUUGCAGAGGUGCAAAUGUAUAAAGGGGUUGGAAGAAGGCCGAAAAAGAAGUGAAUAACAAUAAUUCUAUGUUGGGUUACUGUUGCUGUGUUGGUAGUCUAUGGCAUACGAAAGAAGAAGCAUGAUUGACCAACACAAUAAGAGAAGAGAAAUGGUUAUGAGACUUUUGAACAUAUUAUCAUUCUUUCGGCCCCUUGUCAAAGAGAUUUUGUUGGUUGCUCUUGUUUCUUCAAUGCUUGUGGCUACAUAAUUAUUGUGGAGACACACUUGGUGGAGCAUGAAUUUGAUUUAAUAUGAAACCCAUCUUUGAAGGUCUUAAAAGUGUAUGGCUUUGAUUAUUAUCUCUUCUUUGCGCCGAGUAUUCCCUCUACCAUCAACAUAAUUAGAGCAAGAAGAAGAAGAAGACAAGGUUUAGCAUAAGCCACUGUUUUCCCUAUUUUAAUGAUGACAAAAGCAUGUUUCGUUUACGGACCAAGAAAAUCUCAUACUGUAAGCCAGUGGAUCUUGCUUUAUAUGUAAAUUGCGACAAAUGGUGAUAGGGGUCCUCAAUUUAGUAGUUUCCAUAAUCAACAGGCGAAACAUGGAGCACGUGCAGUGCAGUUCAUCCUAUUAGACAAGUGAUUUUUUUUUAAUAUGAUGAGCAUGUUGCUGGCUCAGCUAAAGACGUGCAAAUUUGAAAACUUUGAAAUGGGUGCAAAUCUGUGGUUGAAGGACCUUCAUAAUGUGUACUAGGUCUUCUAUGAAUCCAUAGAUGAGCAUCUGAGCAUUACUUUCUGGAUUCAGCAAGUCAUAGCUUACAUUUGAAAAAUGUGCUGAGGGAAAUGAGAUGUGAAUUCAUAGGACUCCUCAUUUAUGGUUUUAUGGCAGUGCCAAAUUUUAAAUCCCAUUGUAAUAAUUUAUGUCAGAAUAUCAAAAUUUCCAAGUGCUAAACUUAGCAUUUACUGCCUUGUAGUGCUGGAUAGAUGCAAUGCACAUGAGAGGAACUGAGGAAAUAUGGGUGGUUGUGGUUCCCCACAAAAUCAUUUUCUGCUAUUUACGCAACUUGAUGAAUAUAUUCCACUUUUGGUAGAUGAUCUUUUUUUUUUUUGAGAGUAAGGAGUGAACUAAUUUUGGUUUUAUACUAAAGAGUGUAAUAGCUUUACUGAUGGGGAAAGUGCUAAGAAUUCAAAAAGUAAAGAGAUGUCGAAUUUUACGCAAAGCUGGACUCAAAGACUUUCGCAUUAAUUAUUAAUGUAGAAGAGGUUUUGCUGCUGAUCCGAUGAUGUGCUGCUUUAAGCAAAAGUGAGGAUAAUGUUCAUUCCUUUGAUGUUGACCACAUGUUGCAGCAAAGUUCAGGUUGACUUAGGUUCUCCUCUCAUUGAUAUGACAUUUUCUAAAGCAUUUCAGUUGUUUAUCCAAGAAUAGUGGAACAUUUGAUUGCUUGCAGAUGCAAAUUCAGGAUGAAUCGAUGAAUCUUAUAAUACUUACACCAGUCCUUUUAUGUUUGGGCUAUUGCAUAACUUAAUCUUGGAAAUUAUUUCAGCUUUUCGGCAAAAUGUAAAUGGUUACCAGAAAUUGUAGAUAGAGAGCAAUGUGCCCAAGGGUGAGUAGCAGUGGAAUGACUGGAGUCAAUUGACGUGGAGAGAGGUGUUGCUAAGAAUGUCCAUAGGGAGGGGGAAUUAGAGGAAGACAAUGCUGCUCAUCAGUUUUUUGGGUUUUUGGGGGUUGAGGUAUAGGAAUGGCAAGUUGGUUCAGAUUGGAUCCUGUUCUAGGUCAAAAAAUAUCCAUAUUGAAUUAGGUUAAAGCCCAGGAUGUAAGCAUAAACUUGGCCUAUUUACUCAACAACGAAUUAGUUCCAAUAUUAGGUAACAUUUCAAGUUUAUGGGAUAACUUGUUCUUUCCUUUGUUUGUGUGUUAGAUCUGUUUGAGACGAAGCUGAGUACUACAUAUUUACUUGCUUGGAUCAAGAUUAGGAUUUGGGACUUGCACCAAACAAUGGGCCAAUAUCGCUACUUUAUUCCAGAUCCUAGUUGCUUACAUACAGGGUGAAUCUAGGUCUAUCCAACAUGCCAACGCCCCAAGCGGAUGAAUUAUAUUUGCUCACUUUGUUAUGGGAUCCCACAUACUUAAAGUUUCCAGUUAAUUUAGGACUUUGAAUGUAACCUUGUAUAGUGUGUGAAACUGUGAAUGUUUAUUUUCACAUAAGUUUGCUUAUUGUUGGCAUUGCCAGAUUUACAUGAGACUAUAUGCAAUCUGAUGAAGAGGCCCCUAAGAAUUCAUCUAUAACCAUUAUAAAGGUGGGAAGGUUUGGGGUUGUUUUUUUUUUUUUUUUUUUGGGGGGGGGGGGUUACGAGUUGGAGUGAAGGGAAGAGAGCAUCGUGUUGAUAGAAUUUGUUAUCAGCUGUAUCUGGAAAAAUUAGAAGAGCCCCGAACAACAGUGGCAGUUUUAAGCCAUUGAAACUAUCCUGUUAAAAAUUGAAAUUAUUUGUCUACUUUAGUUCAGAGGGUUUUCUCUAAGUGAUUGUUCCAGUUGGCAAGAUCUUGUGGUAAUCCCAAUUUAAGAAAAGUGGGAAAGAAUUUCCUAGCCACAACAGUUCUGCAUAUAAGCUAUCAUUUCUGGUGCAAGGCCAUAAAACUUCACAAUUUGGUGUCAACUCCUUGAAGAUGUCCUCAAAACACAAUUCUGAAGGUUUGAUGUUCUCUAUGCAGCAGUGCAUUCUCUAUUUUGGGUAUCAUGUCCUUUAUUAACAAUUUAAUUCCUACUUCAAUAAUGAACCUUAGCUCUAUGAACAACCAUGACUAUAAACAUAGCAUUAAAGUACCUUCUAUAGAAAAAUUUCAUUAAAACAAAUAUCAAUAAAAAUCCAUAUAUAAAGUUGUGUUUGGACUUUGGACUAAUGCCAACUGAUGUGGAAUGGUGGUUAUAUUUGAACUUAAGCUUAGGAAAAGACUUAAAUGCUAAAAUAUUCUCAAAACAAACCUUCAAUUUAAUGUAUUGAUAUUUCUUUUUGUUUAGUUAGAAAUGGAAUCAACUCAGGUUGUCAAUAUCUAAACUAACUAUGACAAAACUAAUGUCUUAGAAACUUGCAGAUAAAAAACAUUUCAACGGAAAAAAAGAAAAAAAAACAUAUUGAAGUGCAGGACUUCCACUUUUGAAUCAAUUCAUCACGUCUGUUCAAGAGCAACCACUACUUCCGACAUAUGAUGCAUUUUUAUGGUCUGCUUAGCACUCACCAUAAAUUAUAAUGUUACAGGGAAUUUGAUACUAUAUGACUGCUGUUGACUGACUAUGCUUUAUCUCUUUUUCUGUAAUUUUUAAUGCAUUGAUGUUUGCAAAAUGUAUAGACAACAACUUGUGUGACAUGUAAUCUGGAUAUUAAAAAGUAACUAAUUUGCCACCCUCUUUGUCGGCUUUUAUAACAGGUAGCGGUUCUUUGGAGUCUGCAAGAUCAUAUGCACUUACAACUGUGAAGAGUGUGGCUGAGGAUGGUAUGAACUAUGUUGCACCUCAUGUAUCUUUUUGGAGGAAGGAAACUAGUGGAAGGCUCUCAAGAUUUAAGACAAAUAUUCACUUUGAGCACGGAGUUGAAUUAACCAAGCUGAGCAAAACUUUUUCUAUGCAUAUUCAGUCAACUUUGGAAUGUUUUGAAGCUUUCAAAGAUAAGUGCUGGCCUGCUAGGAAAGAUACAUGAGCAACUUAAUAGAAUUUUCAUACUCUGCUGAUUCCUGUACCAUUAAUUAACUAACAGUUUUUUUCCCCUGUGACACCACUUACUGUAAAAAUGGGACUUCAGUGGUUGUCCUCCAGCUGUUGCUUAGUUAGCAUGAUUUUUUUUCCUUCUCCAAUACUAGGUUGUGAUCUAUUUAUAGAUGAAGUGGGUCAAGCUGAAAAGAACUUCAGUAUUGUGUGCAUAAUGGAGCACAAGUGGAAUUGCUUCUGAUCUGUUGCCUCAAAAAAAUAUUCCUAGAAGGUCUGCAAUCUUAGUACCGGACCCCUAUUGAACCGAUACAUCCCGUANAGGUUUUUGGUAUGGUGCAUACAUUGUAUGGAUACUCGAUACUGAGGCUGUACCAAGUUUCGGUACCAUAUCAAUACGUAUGGUGCUACUCGUACUAGGUGGUACUGUCUGAGAUAGCAAACCAUCUUUCCUAUAUUAGUCCUCCAUCUGCCAAAACCACCUUUACUUAUAAAGGCAAAUCAUACGAAACAUUUUGCAGGCCGGGAACUUAACCUAAACAAAGAAAAGAAACAUUACCAAAUAUUUUUUGGGUCUAUACUCUAUACUUUUUUCUUUGUAAUGUUUCUCUCAUUCCCAUUUCUCAAUUUUCUAUAUCACACUCACUAGCAUCUCUUUUGAAGUUAAUCUAACAUUCCAGUAAAAUAUUUUUUGUUGAACUGAGAUAUUUGCACAUCACUGUCUCUACUUGUCUCUUUUCUGUAUGACUCUAUGCAAAAUAUAAAGAUUAUUUGAUGAAGCAGCUGGGUCCUCCUGCAUUAUAGAAAACACAGCAUUGCUACAUUUGCUGCUGUUGCUUCUCAGAUGUUGUUAGCAUUAGUAUCAACAGGUUUUCUUAUCAAGUCUGGAAAAAAGUUAGGAAUUUUAAGAAAAAUCAUAAGAUCUGCAGUUGUUCUCCACCUGUUCUUUCUUAUGCAUGCAUUAACUAAUUCCCCUCCAUGAGUAUUGUUAUAUGCUAUGAAUUUCACAUUUCGUGCAUGAUGUUUUUGGAUCAGGGAUCUUGCUCUCAUACUAUUUGGGCUUAAAUGGGGUAAUUAGCCACUGCCAGAUUUAUAAGCUUUCAGUUUGUAUGCUGCAAUCAACACGAGGACUUCAUAUCUCAUAAAAUUUCCCUGUUACCUUUUGGAGAACCCAUUAUAGAAAAAAACUCCUUGUAAUAAUUUUUACCAUCAUUGAGCAGAGGCAUAAUUUUUUCUCAUGUGCUAUAAAACAAAAGAUGGGAAUGUAGAUUGCAAAUUUUCAAGCUGCCACUUGUUCCNNNNNNNNNNNNNNNNNNNNNNNNNNNNNNNNNNNNNNNNNNNNNNNNNNNNNNAGGAUUAGUGCAAAAACAGAGUCAAUUUACUAUUUCCAGCUCCUUAGAACAAUAACCUUACAUCAUCCUAAGCAUGUUAGAGACUGAUGCUUAAUUUUGUCCAAUACUAGUUUGAAACUAAUUCAUUGUAAAGUUGGUAGCCAGACAUAAAUAUUGUGUGAUGCAAGGAGAAAAAGCUCUUCUUGGAAUUUUGCUGUGGAAGGAUUACUUUUUAGAUUUUGUUUGGAUCCAAAAACAGGAACAAGGUUGUGACAGUAACAAAAUUUCAAUCAUCACAGGCUAACAGGAACAUUAAAACAUUUUAUAUUUUUACAAUCUUUUCGAUCACUAGAUUUGAAGCAAAUACUGCAAAUUACUGCAAAAAUGUUUCAAUAGAAGACCAACAUCUUACCUAAAUAUCAUGUUCUAGUUGGGAAAUAUUUGCUUCGUGAUGCUCGAUGUGCACCUGCAUCUGUACCAGAUUAAUGCCUGUUCUUAAGACCACCUGCUCUCUUUUUUUUGGUAUUAAAUCAUCGAGAUAAUAUGUCGACAACUUGGUCAUGAGAGUAUCUUUUUUUUUUGUUCGAGUGAAAAGAAGUAAUCAGCUUAUACCAUGAUAUUUUCUCCAUCAGCACCUAAACCCUUCCUCCUGAAAAGCAAAACCACCCUUGCUGAACAUCGCACUGGAUACAUCAAUAUAAGUAAGCUAUGUCAAAGUUACUUGGAUAGUACAGUAGAGCUAGAAACAUCAAAUCUAUUAAAGCCUUCCCAGGAGCUCAAUCAACUCACUCUGAUUUCCUGAUCUCUGAUAAUGUUAAGUAGUUCAAGGUAAAUCAAUUAAUCUCCUAGGAAAUAACUGUCAAGGUGAAACAACAGUAGGAAUCCAAAGAAAUAGAAAGUAGGUUCAGUCACACAAAUCUAGUAUGAAUACAUCCAACAUAAUUAAAAAAACAAAACAGUAAUACAUCCCAGCCUUCGCUUUGAUCUCUAUGUCAUCGUCAUCGUCUAAGAAAACCUUUCCAUUGGCAUGGCAGUUUUAUUAAGCAUGUCAAGGACUACCAAGAGCUUUAAAUUAUUUGACAAGGGUUAAGUAACAUUGCAAUCAUACCAUCAAAAAAUAUAAACUAAAAUGCCAAUGCCAAUAUAAAAUCACCUACAUCUAAAAAGAGGUUUUGAUUGUAUCUUUCGCACGAAGGAAUGAUUGUCGUUCUUUUGCAACGUUAACCACUGGAUCAUGCUCGCACAGAUCUUAAAAGUUCUAAAUUUUUUUCAUCAAUAUGCACAGAUCUCAAAGUGGCUAUUGCACGAUCUAAUGGUUGAAGCCAUAAACGGUGGUAAUCAUUCUUUUAUGUGAAAGAUAGCACCCAAUUCCCUAACAAAAACCUUUAUGACCACCUCUCAAAUUCUAUUUGUUUAUCCAAUGCGAGUUCAAGUCCAUCUUUGGAGCCCAUUGGAUGGAACUUGAGUACGUAUUGGAUUGUUGGAUCCAACGGGCAGUCAGACCAUAUAACCGAGAUGGCUAAUAAUUUGCUCCAUCCAAACCCAACCCGUACCCAAAGACAAAACCCAAUCAUUCAAACCCAAAACUUUAAUUCGAGGUCUAGCUUAACUAAGGGCAGGUCAAGUCCAAUUCGUUCAAGUUCAGCGUCGCAAAGUAUGGGCUUGGUUCGAGUUUGAUCAGCCCAAACCGCCUCCGUGGCUGUUCGAAGAGUGGGUUAAAAAAAAAAAUCUUCUGUUUUUUAUCCAUCGCAAACCAGUACCAUCUCGAGGGCGAAGGGAAACCCUAGGAGAGAGGAGAGGAGAGCCAUGGACGACGAGUACCAAGGAAUGGAGCGCUUCGGCAUGGAGAACGACUUCGAGGGCGGCCAGUGGAUCGACGGCGAGUUCUACUACCAACGCCGCAAGGAGCGCGCCCCCCAGACCCGCGACGACGCCAUCUACGGCACCUUCGCCGUCGGCUCGUCGGAUUCCGACUCGGAUGGCGGAGGCGGACGGCGCUCCCGGAAGCGCCGCCGCGGAGACCUCAUCUCCAAGCCCGACCUCUCUAAGCCCGUCCAUUUCGUCUCCACCGGCACCGUCAUGCCCAGUCAGGAGAUCAACCGGAAUCUCGAGGAAGACGCCCGCAAUGCCUCCGCCGACAACCCUAAUCCUAGCCACGGACUUGGCUAUGGGUUAGGGUUCGGCGCCGAUUCCAAGGAGAGGGAGAGCGGCGCCGGUGAUGUCGAAGAGGAGGACGAGGAGAAUUUCCUCCCAACGGCGUUCGGGAGGAAGAUCAAGGAAGGGGCGCAGCGGCGGCAGAAGGAAAAGGAGAUAGAGAAGGAGAGGGAGAGGGAGAGGGAGAGAGAGGGUUCUAAAUCGAUGAGAAAAUCCCUCGGAAGGAGGGAUGUCACUGGCACCGACGAAAUCGGUAAGUUUGAAAGCCACACAAAGGGCAUCGGACUGAAGCUUCUCAAGAUGAUGGGUUACAAGGAAGGAAGCGGAUUGGGGAAGAACAAGCAGGGAAUUGUUGCUCCGAUCGAGGCGAAGCUCCGGCCAAAGAACAUGGGAAUGGGGUUUAAUGAUUACAAAGAAGCGAAAUUGCCUGUUUUGGAAGAGGCUGUGCUGCAGGAGAAGGCAGCAGCCAACUCUGUGGCUGUCGGUCGCUCCAGGGAGAAGAGGUGGUUGAAGCAGAAGCAAGGGAAGAAGAAAGAUGAGAUUUUGAGUGCCGAGGAGCUGCUGGCAAAGAAGCAGGAGCAGGGGAUUGAGGUUUUCCAGAAGGUGCUAGAUAUGAGGGGCCCGCAGGUCAAGGUGCUGACGAGUUUGGAAAAUUUGAACGCAGAGGAAGAGGUGAAGGAGAGCGAGGUGCCGAUGCCUGAGCUUCAGUAUAAUGUGAGAUUGAUCGUAGAUACUACUGAGGUUGACAUACAGAGGCUUGACCGGGAUUUGAGGAGGGAAAGGGAGAAAGUAGUGAGCUUGCAGAGGGAAAAGGAGAAGAUUUUGAAGGAGGAGACCCGGCAAAGGCAGCAGCUUCAAGUGCUGGAGAUGAUAGCUGGUGUUUUGGAGAGGGUGAGGGAGGAGAACGUUUCGGGAGCCUUGACGCUGGAUUCAUUGCUGAAAACGUUCAGCAAUCUCAAGGAGAAGUAUGAAGAGGAUUACAAGCUGUGCAACCUUUCGUGCGUUGCCUGUUCAUUUGCAUACCCAUUGCUGAUCCGAGUGUUUCAGGGCUGGGAGCCGCUGCAGAACCCAUCACAUGGAUGGAAUCUCAUGUCCUCUUGGAGGGAUUUGCUGCAGGGGGAUCAGCCAUUUGAUUACUCGGACAAUGCAUUAGCUACUUCACCCUAUGCCCAGCUGGUCAAUGAGGUUGUUUUCCCUGCAGUGAGGAUAUCGGGAACCAACACUUGGCAGGCCAGGGAUCCGGAGCCAAUGCUUCGGUUCUUGGAGGCUUGGGACCGGCUGCUACCUCCAGUAGUUCUUCAAUCGAUUUUAGAGAAUGUGGUCAUGCCGAAACUGACAGCCGCUGUGGAUUUGUGGGAUCCUCGCCGAGAGACUGUCCCCAUCCAUGUUUGGAUACACCCAUGGCUUCCACUGCUGGGACAGAGAUUGGAAGCUCUCUAUCACACAAUACGCUACAAGCUGGGUAAUGUUCUUCAUGUGUGGCAUGCGAGUGAUGCAUCAGCUUAUGCUAUUCUGUCUCCAUGGAAGGAUGUGUUUGAUGCAGCUAGUUGGGAGCACCUUAUUGUACGCUACAUAGUACCGAAGUUGAAGAUUGCAUUGCAGGAAUUUCAAAUAAACCCUGCUAAUCAAAGACUUGAUCAAUUUAACUGGGUAAUGAUGUGGGCAUCUGCAAUCCCAAUUCACCAUAUGGUUCAUUUGUUGGAGGUCGAAUUUUUCAGCAAGUGGCAGCAGGUUCUAUACCACUGGCUAUGCUCGAGUCCUGAUUUUAAUGAAGUUAUGAAGUGGUAUAUAGGCUGGAAGGGACUUUUCCCUCCAGAAUUACUUGCCAAUGAGCGGAUUCGCAUGCUACUAAGUGCGGGUUUGGACAUGAUGAACCAAGCGGUGGAGGGUAUGGAGGUUGUGCAACCUGGUGCUCGAGAGAAUGUGAGCUAUCUAAGAGUGACAGAGAGGAGGCAAUUUGAGGCCCAACAGCAAGCUGGGACAUCUUCAAACAUUCAUGCAAACGGGGUAGGCAGUGCACCACAAGAAACAAGCUUUAAAGAAUUUAUUGAGGCUUAUGCAAUAGAACAGGGGUUGAUUUUUGUGCCGAAAGCUGGUAGAUCAUACAAUGGUCUUCCAGUCUAUGGAUUUGGCAACGUGAGCAUUUGCAUAGAUUCUGUGAAACAACUGCUUUUUGCACAAGUACAAGAAGGUGAGAGGUGGAGUGCGGUCUCCCUCACUCAACUAAUGGAGAUGCACCGAAUUGCUGCUCGUCGCUGAAAGUAAUUCUUCAACCCAUAAAUAUGUACCUAUGAUUUUAAUUUUGUGCUGUCUAGAAGCAGUUUUUGUCUAUGUAAUCUGUAGGGAGCCAUGGGGCUUUGGGGGACUUUGAUUCAUUUCUGUCACAACAUGCUUCUUGAUAUGUUAAAUCAUGGACUACAUUGAUUUUGGUUCCUUUUAUGUAUCACUUUAUGCUAAUGUAUCUAUAAAUUUAAAUAUCAUGUCUUGAUUGUUGAACUGGUCAUCUGAUUGGUUUUCACUUGAAAUUAGCAAUUAGUCUAUUGCGACAGAGAAUGGUAUCAGUUUGCAUCAUGCUGCUUGUUGCUGAAUAGUUCUAGAUAAAUGUCACAGCUAUCCAUUUGGUUCGUUAGCUUCUUAGAAUACUUCUCUGGUUGUUUUGUGCCAGGUGCUUAUUUGUCUAAAUCUAUUGGUGCUGUAGCAUGAUUUUUUGUUUCUGUACUUUGAAAUUUCAUCUUAAAAGUGGUCUUAUGUCCAUGUGAUAUUUAACAUAUUCAUAUAUUUAUAUAUAUCAAAUUGCUAGAGUUAAGAUGUUUUCUUUUUUUUCCUUGGGAAUAUUUUGUGUCAUUAAUAAAUCAUCUUCUUGAGUCAACUUUGUAUAUUGAUGUCAAGAUAUAGCAGUUAGCAGUAUGCAAUCUCAAGCUAACUUCUAUCUCAGUUGCUUUUACAAUCUUGAGAUGUUUACAUAAAUCUCAUAUGAUUCCAGGCUCAUUCCUGUUAUUGGUUUCCAUAAGUUAAAAAUAAACUCUUUUUUGGUACAAAUUUAUAUAAUCUUUGACCCCAGUCAAAUCCAAUCAAUGAAGAAUGUGAUCUGAUCACAAUCAUGAUCAGCAUUAUGGUAUAAAUAUUUUCAAUUAUAAUUCCAACUUCAUCCUCUCCUGAUCUCUGCUGCAUUGCUAUCUUAGUCUUAAUCUUGGUGUUCUUUGACCGUAACACAUCCUUUUUUAUUGCAAGUAUCCUAAUCAUGGCUAUAUUUUGAUGAUUGAUUCUGUAAUUCUUAGUAUUUAUUUUUGUCAGACAGGACUAGUCAACACUAUAGUCUGGACCUUUGGCAUCAAAUCCUUCUCACUUAAUUACUGCAGCUGAGGCAACAGGGCCAUUUGUGGUACAUGGAAUCUUCUUUACUGAAGAAAUUGAAGGUUUGAUGUGAGAGAAGGGCCUUAGAUCAAUCUGGAACCAUUGCAAAGGCAGCAGUUGCAAAGCUGGAUGGACCACGGAAAACCUUCAUAUAGAUAAAAUGGAAGAGGGGGCAACAAGUGGGCCUAAAUGGGAUCGGGCAAAUGGGCAUAUAAUGACGUAAAAUAUGGUUUAGGCAAGACAACUCGCUGAUAUGGGAAGGAGAGGCAUGUGCACUUAGCAAAAAAGAUAAGCUAGAAUCUAUUUUAUCCGAGGAUGGUCGUAGAGGGAGGGGAUGACCAUUUAACCAGAAAAUGAUGUUUGGGCACUUCAUCAUUGAUAACAUAAGUCUCAAGGGAGUGGGUGCAAGGAUUACACCCUGAAUAAUUGCUUCUGAAUAGGCUAUCCUUUGAAGUUUGAAUAGCUGUCAUCCUUUGUUCAAUGACUAACAUACAUCUGUUAUUUGUUAUCUUAGAGUAUAAGAAAAGCAAAGUACUUUCUUAUCCAAGGAUAAAAUAGAUCACCGAGAAGGUGAUUUAUCUUAUUCGUAAAUAUAUUAUAUUUCAGAAUAGAGGACCUAUUUGGGAUAGACUAGAAUUAAGAUUGGGCCUUGUUCCCUUCCUGGCUUUCCUUCUUUCAUUUUGUCUUCUCCUCCUUCUUUUGCUCUCUGCCCUCCAUCUCCAAUGUUCCUCCACCUCAGGUGGCAUUACCACCAGCAGUCCUCUCUACCUUCUUCCCUCCUACCUUUGUCUUUCUUUCUCUCGUCUUCCUUGGUGUUUUGCCAUUCACCUCUGGCAGAGUUUUCACUGGCCGGGGAAUUUUGUUGCCCCUCCCUAGUGUCAUCAAAAAUUGAUCUCCACCUCCAAUAACCAUGCGUAAGUCUCCAUUCUCUUCAACUAUUGUGCAUUGAACUUCAAAGCAGAUUCAGCCUCAGUAUUGGCAUUUUUGAUAGCUUUCUUCCGUGCAAUUGGUUUGAAGGUGCAUUCUUAAUAUCCUCAAUCACUAAUCUCUUGAUCUAAUCUUAGAGACAUCUUCUCAUAUUCUUCUUUUACUUAUAUAUUGUCCUUAUGCUAUUCUCUUCUGCAAAAAAGAGCCAAAAUUUAGCAAGCUUUAGAUUUAGUACUUUAUGGUGUAUAAAUUUCAUUGUUGUGAUCAGAAUUGAUAAAAAUCAUGAUACACUUUUUUGGCUCUAUGACCUGAGUUCACUCUAUUAGUUUUAAAUUAGUGGAGGAGUUGUGAUGGCCUAAAAUUGGUCUUUUAGGCCCCUGUUUGGAUGGCCAGGUGUGCUAUGUAGCGGAGAUGGCCCAGUUGGAAUUCAGAGAAAUGUUUGUAGAGAAGGAAAGUGUCCAGGAUCGAAACCAAUUGGAGCCUGUAAUCCAUGAAAAAUCAUGAUAUGUGUUUGAUUUCAGAGGUGAUUUUCUUUGUGCCAGCUGUUCUGAAUAAAAGUUUCUCAUUACAGUUGAAACUUCCUCCAGGUUGCACAACUUCUCCUCAAACUCUUAAGUUUUUGGUUAUAUAAAGAUUAGAACAGAAUCUUAUUGCUGGAGGGUCUUGUAUAUGCUAGAGUACAUCUGGGUGCCCGACGGAUUCUUCUAGAGGGUGACUCGACCACAGUAGUGGACUGGAUUCGCUCCCGACAGGCCAGGUCGGACUUGCAUCCAUUACUCCGAGACUUCCGGAGCAUGGGGGAGGAGUUAGAUUUACUUCGUGUUUCGCAUGUGUUUCGGGAGGCGAACAAGGUUGCGGACUGGGUCGCCUCCUAUGCAGCCCACCAUUCUGGUUUUGUAUUUUGGGGUCCCUCUGAUCAUGUGCUGCAGGCAUUAGAUCGUGUUUUGCUUUGCGAUGGUUCUGGGCUCUCUCAUCAUCGUAUGUAGUGUGAAGCCGGUUUAACCAAAAAAAAAAUAAAAUAAAAUAAAAUGCUCUGGCAUCCAAACAGGGUCUUCGUGGAGUUACGAACAUAAUUAUUGUUGCAUUGUCACAUGGGAAGUUAUGUUAUAUGCUAUUAUCUUAUGAUAUAUACAAUGGUUUAAAAUAAUAAAUUUGUGAUUAUAUUUUACAUUUUUUAGUCGUUAUAUAAAAAUAUUAAGUUGCGGAGCUCAUUUUUUUUGGCAGACAGUACUGAUCUAGAAUAUUUGUAAGAGUUUUCAAACUGUAUUCCCAAUCAAUGUCUAUAAGCCAUCUCAAAGCUUGUGUCUUAUGAUACUCACACAUGGAGUCCUUGAAUGUAAAAGGUUAUAUAAAUUUUUCAUCUCUCAUUAAAUGAUUAUAUAAAAGGUUAAUAACGGGUGGAUGGCAUAAGAAUCUUUUUAUGGAGAAGGUAACUACAUUAUGAAGUUUUCAUACAAAUAUAAUAACAAUCAAAAUACUCCUGCAAUGCAGGGGAAGGAAAAACGCUAAAAUAAUAUCCAAAUAAAUACAUAAUUAUUUUUGUACAUAUACCCCAAUUAUUUCUGUACAGAUACUCCUAUACUUCAUAAUGAUUAUUUAAGUCAAAUGUAAAGUUAAUUAAUCUUUUUCAAAUUUACCUUAACAAGUAAAGAUAAAUUGAUGUGAAGGAUAUCAAUUUUAAAAUAAGGAAAAAGAAGAUGAAGGAAGAAUUUUUGAUAAGCAUGUCUUUGUAAAACUUAAAUUAUGAGCUAAAGAUUCAGUGAUCAAUAUCUAUCAUAAGGUUAAAUCGGAGUAAGGUAAAUAAUGGUUUGAAACAGAAUAGAAUCAUAAAGAUAAAUAAUUGAAAAAUCGGUGUGGAAACAAAAACAAAGACAAUGGAAUAUUUGAGGAACAAAAUAAAUAGUCUGCAAGAAGACUAAAUAAAUUAGUAUUCUUAACAAUAUCAAUGAAAGAAUUUAACCAAUCCAAAUAAAUAUAUAAUAUUUUAUUCUAAUAAGAAAAUUCUAGGGAAAAAUCAUUAGGAAUGUUUACUCAGUAUAUUAUAUAUCUAUUGGGGAAUAUGUUUAANCAUUAGUACAUGGGAAUUGGGCAUCCAAACACUCACAAAUAAUAAGGUUUCUUUAAAAGCAGAGUAUUAUAAAAGUAAUGUAAAAUAAUAAAAAUAACUUAAACUAUAAUAAAAAUCAUAACAAAACAUGCUGAAUGCUGAUUUGACAAUAAACAAAAAAUAGAACAUAACAAAAUAUUUAUUGAUUUAAAUUGAAAAUAUUUUGCAUGAAUAAAGACCCUCUUGAGUGCUUAGGUUGAGAUUCACCGACCUAACUUGCUAAUAUCUUCCACAUGGAAUCAUUACCCAGUAUGGCAAACCUAAUGUGUUUAGGUUGGGAAGCCUCUCUGGCCAAACCUGACCAAGAAACAUGAUCUAAUGCAUGCAUGCACAUUCUUAUAUGCAUAAUUUAGAAGCUUUAUAUGGAUGUUCUUUAAAACAACUAUUUUUCUAACUUCAAGAAUCUAAUGAUGAAACUAUUAUAAUCACAAGACAGAGAAAUGUUGAAAAAGAAAUGCAUAAUGCUUAUUGACUACCAAAACAUAAUUUAUAAGCUAAUUGUAAUAGAAAUAUCCUUAGUCCAAAAUUUAGAAAACAAUCUAAAUAGGCAAAAAAAUGCAGUUCCUCUAAUUCAAAUUUGAGACCCUCCUUAUCUUUGCUGAAUAUUACCUAACUAAAUUUUAAGGAAUAUUUAGUUUCAAAUGCGUGGAAAUUGGGCAUCCAGGCACUUACAAAUAAUUGAUUUUCUGUUUUAGGAAAAAGAGGUUUUUUUUGCACAAUGUUGGGGUAAUCUGUCGCCACUAGGGGUUUUAUAAAGGUAAUGUAACAUUAAAAAAAUGGCAAAACUACAACAGAAAAUAUAAUAAACUUCAUGAAAAAUGAAAAAUCACAUCAUAACAAUAUAUAUAUAUAUAUAUAUUGAUUUAAGUUAAAAAUAUUUUGUCUGAAUAAUAAACCCACUUGAGUGCUUGGGUUCGAUCCACCUACCUAACUUGCUAAUAUCUUCCAUAGUGCAAUCAUUACCCAAUAUGGCAGGCCUAAUAUGUUUAGAUCAAAGCCUCCCUAGCCAAACCUAAAAUUGGCAAAACCAGCAUGGUCUAGCUAUUCAUAUGACUAUACACAUGUAUGUAUAUUUUAUAAGCUUUAUGUGGGUAUCUUUUCAAGGUACUUUUUUCAAACUUCAAGAUUCUAUUGAUGAAAUUAUUAUAAUCAAAUGGAUGUAAAAUAUUGGAAAAGAAAUGUAUAAUACUCGUUUACUACUAAAGAGAAAAAUUAUCAACUACCUAUGUUAAAAAUCUCCUAGUUCCAAAAUUUAGAAGGCUUAAAAAAGGAGAAACAAAUGCAAUUCCUAAUUUAAACUUGAGACCCUUCUUAUCUUUGUCAGUUUUACAUAACUAAAAUUCAAAGAAUAUAUGGAAAAAGCCAUCAUUAUGUGAAGAAAACCGUCUUAGCACCCUUUCCACCUAACUUCAUUGGAAAGAGAACACAACCAGUCCAUCCCCAUUCACCAAGAACUUGUUCCCAUUUGAACAUUGAUCCUUACAAUCAGUUAGAUCUUUUCCUUACCUGCACCUUCUUGGAAUGGUCUAGUAUAAAGCUGUCAUAUAAUCUUUGGUUGUCAUUUUAUUCUCAUCUUGAACAGAUCUGUUUGUGCUUUUGUCUACGUCAUUCGAAUCAGGGUUGAAAUCUGAUAUUCAUAUUCUUUCAAAAUUGUUGCUAUUAUACUUAUUUUCUGCACUCUUGUUCUUGUAUUCUGCAGUACUAUUUAGUUACAACCUUUCUGUUUAGCGCUGAUAUUGAAUUGUUCUGAUUUGCCUUAAAACUUUUGUUCUGGGGUUUCAAACAUUUAUUGCAGUCUUCUAAUAGUGAGGGCAGGCUAAAUCUUCUUUUAUCAGCCAGUAAUCCUUUGAUUUUACGCUUCUUUCCUGUUUAUUGAAUCUGGAUAGCAAGAGUAAAGCUGAGCCAAACCCUAAAAUCUGCUGGCUUUUUAGGUCCACCACAUAUUUCAGGUCAUCCAUACUUGGUCUUGCAUCACUCAUGUAGGCCAUGAUGACUUCCCAUUCCCGUGAAUUUCAUAUUUGUGAGGAACUUGGAUGGUGAAUCAGUUAAGCUUUCAAAAGUUUCUGCUUGCCCAUAAAGUAGUUUAGUUGGAGGAUGGAAAUCAAGAUUAAUAUGUAUAAAUCUGGGAGUUACGUAGCAUACUCUCUAAUGGGCUGCACAGCAUACAUGGAGAUAAUAGGAGCUUGCUUCUUGUCAUAAUUAAGCUUUUAUUCAGGUAUACACAAGGAUCGCCGAACUGGUACUGGUAGGUAUACCGAUUGGCUACCGGACCUGUACGGUACCGAUUCGGACCGGGUUCGAACGGGUACCACUGGUUCGGUCUAGUUCACGCAUCCAAAAGCCCAAAAAAAUUUGGAAGAGGUGCGAACCAGUCGGUUCGCACCGGUUCCUAGCCGGUACGGGCCGGUGUCGAACCGGACCGGUCAGAGACUAGACCGGUUUGGUACGGGCUGAACCGGCCAGUAUGGGCCGGUUCAGCAUUACAACUUGAUUUCGAAUCUUUAAAAGAUUACAACUUGAUUUGCUGAUAAUCAUUGGACAUGUAAAUAUAAUUGUAGCAAACAUAACACUUCAAAUUGUAUAUGCUUUGUACAUUAUCUAGAAGCCUUAUUCAUGACUUUCCAUUACAGAACCAUACUACAGCCAUUCACACUAGUAAUGGUUCAGAAUUCAUCAACAUAGUGGCAUAAUUCUCAAUUGUUCAGUUGAAUCAUCAGAAUAUUUUGUUUUGAUCGGAUGAUCAAGGUUAAAAGAAAAGGAGCUUGUCCUAACAUCUGCUUUUGUUGAUGCUCAUGCAACUUGCUCCUUGCUAAGAUCAUAAAUACGUUUGAUAAGUUGGAACAGAAAAAAAAGAUGGUGCAGCGGAAUGGGAGGUAAAAUUUAUGCCAUCUCUAACUUAUCAUAAUUACAUAGAGGAGAUUGCAGGGUUUGGAGGUGGCAAAAAAUCAUAGCAAAGGACAGAUGAAGCCUGGUCCUGACAGAAGGUUGAAAUGUACAGCAAGAAGAUAAUUUGAAGAAGAUUGAGGAAGCUAACAGUGUUAAAGGUAACAUGAAAUUAUCUGUUCAUUCUUGAUUUUUUUAAUUGUGUCAUGGAAGAUUUGAAUCUUGGAAACCAAGAAGAGGAACUGAUCAAGAACAUAUUGGCUUGGAAGAAAAUUAAUUAUGUUCACACUUCACAGUUUGAGUGACACAGGAAAUAGGAGUGAGAUCUGCAAUGAAGUUUUGAUCUAUAAAUAUGUUUAACAUCAUGAUGUGCUGGGGUUGGUAAAUAGUGAUCCCUGCUUCUGAGGCUGAAGAGAAUUGUUGGAUCUCUAAGGGUGGAUAGGCAAUCAAUAAAUGCUUUUUAUCUAGGGAUGGGGUUAAAAUUGUUUCAUGAACAAGAUCGACAUUAUAGAGGAUGAUUCCAACAUACAUUGUGGGUCUUGUGGAAGAAGUAUAAGAAAAAAAUUUAUCUAAAUGAUAUCUUAGAUAUAAUCUUUAGAUGAUUUCAAUGUAUUGAACAAUUGCAGCUAAGAGGCCGGACAUUAAUUCUAAAAUCCAUGUGAUUUAGAUAGGUUGAAAACAGGUUGGAUGAAGUCCAUCCAUACCCUGUUCCAUACCAGCAUAUAGGUGCAAAUUUAUACAUCUGAUCUAUGUCCAGGUCCAAAUAUGGAUCAAGUUCUUAAUAAGAUUUUGAAUCCUGAUAUGGUUUUGGGUUUGGCUCCUUUCCUUUAUUCCUUAAACUUGCUUAGCCCUCUUUCUUUCUCACCUGCCUAGAGAUGCCCCAGCUGUCAAUCCCACAACUGAUCCCAGCACCAUUCUGCCAAAACCUUGAACCAACACUGAGUGGUAGAGCCUGCCAGUGCAACAAAGGGAAGGACCCGGGUUCGCUAGUUGGGAGGAGGAGAAUUGCUUGGAGAGAGAGGAUAAGGGAAGAUAGAGGUGAAAGAGGAGAUGUGGUAUCAAGUAUCGAUGGACAUGAUGAUUUGAGUGGGAGAAAGCAAGAUGGGUCAAGACUCAAAACUUAAAUUAAGAGCAAUAUGAAAGUUUUGGAGGAGCUCAUAUGGAUUAAGGGUGGGUUAAAUUAUACGAAAUAUGCUACCUUUUCUAUGUUUCUAAUGCAUACCUUGAAAAGUUGCUUUCAGGGAUUACAUCUUCAUUAUAUUGUAUUUUGCUUGCUCAUUUGUCAGCUUUGGCUAUUAGAUAUCUAAAUAUCUUUUAAAUCAGUUUUUUCAUCAGUACUCCUUUAGAUGAUAAUCAAAAUGUCACAGAAUUCCAUCAGAAUGGCCUUGUGAGUGAGAUAGUAUGAAACAGAUGCAUCUGAUGGCGAAAACCCUGCAGGGAAGGGGCUGAGCAUCAUUCUUAGAGGGGGAAAAAAGAUGGGGUUCUAUGCCUUGAUGCAUGUGUCUCUUUCUUUUUGGUGGCUAAUGGAAGUCUUUUGUGAUAUUUCUGAAAUCUUCAACAUGUUUACAGACACUUGUAGUCUCUACAAUGGCAUAGAACAGCAGAGUGAUUUCUUAGCUAUUUCUUUUUUAUUAAUGAUAAAUUCUAGUGAUAAUUUGAUCUAUCUCGGGUGUAUCAUACCAAAAAUGUAAUUGAUAUAUUUGAGAAAUUUUUAUAUUUGACCUUGUAGGUUUUAUAUAGCUUAUUGAUGGUCUUGUUGAACUAUAAGUAAUGGCAACAGUGAUGAUGCCUAACUUGUUGAAAAGACAUGGCUUGCAGCAGAAACCAUGUAAUUAUGGAAGCAGGAAGCAUAAUUUCAUGUAAGCUUCCUAUUUGGAAUAUUAGUGCCAGGGUGGAAAACAGUUUUUCAUGCAGUAAGUAAAACAGUGUGACAGAUUUCCUAGCUUGAAUGAGUCUCAUAGCCUGGUUGGCAGUAGUUUGUAUCAAUUUAGGAAGUCUAUUAUGCAUACACUAAUCUGCAUUAAUGAAGUACUAUGUUGUUGCAUAUUUUUGUUAUUGGGCCUUUAGGUCAAGAAAGGAAAGAAGGUCCCUCUUGUUUGUUUGUCUGUGUUCAUCACCUAAGCUCUUCUUGAGGCAUUCCAUGAUUGCAAAUAGUGGAGGCAUCAUCGUUCUAUAACAUUUCAUUAAUUUGAAUCAUUCUUAUAUUUUUGCUAUUUUUUUAAAAAAAAUGUUCUUCCUUGUGACCUUUCAUUUUUCUGAGUCCUUGUUGCUCGACUUGCAUUAUGUUUGUUGGUAAUAAACCAAAUAAGAUGGUGAGUGUAUUUUUUUUUUUGGUGCACCGGCAUCUUCGACAUUUAGGUGUGAGUACGCCACGCGGAAUAGUGUAUUUUUGGUAUAGGAUCAACGAGACAUACUUUUGUUGAAACAAUUCAGGUUGUUUUUCUCACUUUUGCUGAUUGUCCAGGUCACUCAUAGUCAAAACCUGGUGACAAGUUGAAAACGAGUUCCUUUUUAUCUACACUGGAAGAAGUUUAGGAGACUCCAUGCAUUUAGCCAAGAAAAUACUUCAUGAUGGAGCUAUAAUUUAGAACUUUUUGCAGCAUGGACAUGGUGAUAUUUCCUUCUCAUUAUGACCUUUUCUCACCUGCAGCAUUUUUUUUGUCUCUGACACAUGGAUGGAGGAUGGUGCUCAUGCUAUUUCGCUGUGUCGCAGGAUCUUUUACACAAUGCAUAAUUAGCACAAAAAUUCCUCCUGGAGAAGAUACCUUGGAAGAGAAAGAAGACUUUUUUUGAAUUGCAGCAUAUCAAGUUUUAUCAUUGGUCGGCUCCUGAUAGUAAUUGGAAGUCUCCUUAGGUUAAUCACUGCAAUACACAAAGAUCCGAAGUUGCUCCUGGAAUUCGUUCUGUGCAUGCAGAGAUUGGAUGGCUGGAUCAAACAUCGUAAAUAAAUAGUUACAAGAAAAGGAGCCCUGCAGUACUAGAGAUCAGCUAAACUUUCUUUAAAUGUGAUUGCAUUCACUAUGAAGAUUUUGAUGAGCAGGAUUCUAACAAUGGUUACAACAUUGUACUUGGUAGAUUUGGUGUUUUGUUGCUGUUGCUUCAGUUGCAAACUGCAAGCUAAUUUGAUAUGUAGAAUAUUACAUCAGUUCGGCUGUGUUUGAUAAGGUUUCAGAAUUGAGAACCCAUCUGAUUUUUCACAAGAAGUAAUUUGACAAUUAAGUUGGUUCAGAUGGCCUCCAUUCCCUGCUCAAAAGUCAAUUUACCGUAAGAUAUCCACUCAGAAGGACACCAAAGUAUGAGCCAAAUGCAAACUAGAUUAUAUGGGCAAUCAUGUACUUAGGGCUUACAUGUAGUCGCCAGCCAAGUCGAAGCUGCUGUAAGAUGCACCAUUCUAUCAAGUCAAAUAAGUGCUUCAACACCAAAGGAGGUUUGGUGCUCCUGAGGAUGUUAUUAAUUUGGGCUGGCAAUUUAUCAAGAAUCAUCUUUCAUUUUGGAGUAAGAAUUCUUCGAAGAAAAUGGCUGCUUUUAUACCAAAAAAAAAAAAAUACACAUAAAUCCAGCAAGAGGAUUUUCACUUGGGCAGAGAUCAUUUUUCUCUUCUUUCUUUAUUAAGAUCGCAUGGACACAUUGGAUAUUAUGUACAAACAAAGUAAUUCAACUUAAAGAUAGUUUUAGUAAAGAGCAAAUCAUUGCAAUUAUGGUUACAAUUAGUAUAUUAGCUUUGUCUUUUUUUUUCUUGUAAUAAGUCAUUAACAUGUCUUAGGCAAUAAAUAAGCAAAUAGAUGGGUAGAGAAAUAAAUAAAACAAUUUUCUCACAUGUUAAGGAUUCCCUCAUCAAUAGCAUUCAUUUUGACCAUUUUAAUUACUUGUGUCCAUUGAAUAUUAGGUCCAUUAGAUGAUAAUAAAUAAUUUAUGUAAAAUGAUCGAGGUAGCUUAUAUCUUGGUUCGUCUACCUGUUCCAAAAAAUAUGAAGCGGAAUUGAUUUGGCUUAUGGUCGCAUUAGCUUUGUGAAAUACUGCAUAGAGUCGAUGUCCAGUAACAAUAGGUGCAUGGAAUAAGCCAGUAAGGAAUGAUGCUAUGUAUCAAGUACCACAGAAAUUGGAACUCACCAAAAGAUGUUUGAAGGGGCGGAAUCAACAGAGUGUAGGCAACUUUUUUAGGAAACUGGAGCAGGUGAAGUUUAACCAUUCAGACCUUUAGUGUAAAGAAGAAUGGUUAGGCAGCCUAUAUGUAAGACCGGCCUGGUCCACUCGACCAGCCUACUUAUUUUGGCCUAAAAAUAAGUGCACCUGCUGCACAUGAGUCUUUUUUCUCUCGUGCUCAUCAGAUGGAAUCCGACUCCAACUCGGAUUUCGGUCGCGAUCGAGCUCUAUUUAGAGCUCCUCCCCAUCCUCCCUUCUACCUCCACCGGAGAACCAGCCCCAAUCGGAGAUUAGUCGCCAAAUUCCUCUUCAUUUUCUUCUGCGAUUGUCAACCGUGUCAGCGCCGUCGCCUCAUGGCUAGUAGGGUCACCCUUAUUAAGACCAUGCUAUAUACUUGUCCUAGUUUACCUCAUGGCUAGUACUGUUAUACCAAAAUCCAUCAUUCAUGAGCUGGAGGAGAUCUUUGAAAGCUUCCUAUGGGUUAUAACGGGGAUGUGAAGAGAGUGCAUUUGCUUUCUUGGGAUAAACCAUAAAGUCUACCAACCUUCACAGGAAGGUGGUUGAGAGACAUCAAUCCUUGGUUGCUAGGAGCGAGUCUUUAAUGGCUAAGCAUAUAGCUCAAUCUAUUAUGGAGCCCGAUAAACUAUGGUGUUCUUAGAUAAGAAUUCGAUAUAGCUCUUGGGUAGCAUUUUCUUC